rnacentral:lncRNA from 1 species
CGGCGACAUUAAAAUGUGGUAAAACGAGUCAUCGUGUCAAGUCCCCCACUUUAGCUGAACUUCAACUGAAGUCCACUUACAAAAGGUUUGUUGCCCAAAUUACUCCUUAAAUGUAUAAGAAGUAUAUCUAGUUUAACUGUGUUGACCACAGUGAUUUCAAAUUAGUAAUUAAACAUACCUUUUCUAUUCACCAUAUCGACCACUUCUCCACGUGGGACGGCCUAUUUCCUAUUCACUCAACGUUGCUGCCUGCUAGUCAUCGAGAAGUUGACUCAACCAUCUAAAACUCUUCCUGACACGGCAUAACUCAAAAACUUUCUCCCAAGAAUCCGUCUAAAGCCUGACAUCGUGUUAAUUUCUUUUCCUCGGUUUCCUUGCGUGCACUGCACAACCUGCAGCCGGGUACCGCAACGAACAGAAAACACACGCUGAUGUUAGACGCAUGCUAAGUUUUGCCAAUUUCUUCUAGCGUAGCGUGAGCCAAUCGUCUUUUAAUUGGCUACCGCCAUCUACUGUACUGAAGUGUAAACAGGGUCAUGUUUCUGGUCCUCAUUUUUUGGCCGAUGUGUGUAAUUUACUGAUCCUAAAGACGAACCACUAUGCAUUUUUGACAUGUUUGUGCUGUUUAAGUUGAAUUGGAAGUCAUUUUUGUCUUCAAUACGCUACUAAAAGUAGACAGCACCAACUAGAAUCCAUGUGAAUUGCCUGAGGUAGAUGGCAGAUGACUUGAGAUAUCUUUCCUUAAAGUGUCAUUAUGCAGUAAUUGUACAUCAGGAUUAGGGUUAUGAUAAGCAGUUUUACCUUAAAAUAACAGCUUUAAAAAAAUUGGGGCGCUAUAAUGACUUUUAAUAGGGAGAAUCGCCUCCGUGCCAUUGACAUACCAGGGUCCAUAGGCAUAUUACUGCUAAAUGUAGGUUUGCCUGAAGCCGCCCGGUUUCUACUGUCUGCCGAACUCGUGAUGACCAGCCAUGACAGCAGCUGAAGAGGGUGGGGAGUCGUCCGUGGAGUCCAAGCGUGGCUUUCCUUCAUAAUGCCACAACACCGCCGGAAUAAUUAACUAUGUCCUGACCUUUAGGGAGGGGAUGAAGGACCUGAUGAUAUCAGCACUGCAUAAUCCCGAGUUAAAAUCCACAACCCCCCCCCCCCCCCCCUCCACUGUAUCACAGGCUUCAAAAUAACAAAUGUGACAUUGUAAGCCGUGAUGUGUAAUUUUAAUUGAAGCCAUGCCUGAACACGCUCAAAAUGAGGGCCCACGUUUAAAGUGUUAAUUUCUAAAUCCAAUUCUGAUUCUGAUUCUGAUUCUGAUUCUGUCAUCCAUGGCAACAGUGAUGCUAACACAAAUGGAAGUAACACCUGGAUACAGAUGUCAUCAUUUUUCUUCUUAUUAGCAAUUUUGAAAUUUGGCAGGUGCUCAAUACUUCUUUCACUGUCAGUUUCUCAUUAGUACGUUAUC